rnacentral:rRNA from 1 species
GUGCCAGCAGCCGCGGUAAUACCGGCAGCCCGAGUGAUGGCCGAUCUUAUUGGGCCUAAAGCGUCCGUAGCUGGCUGCGCAAGUCCGUCGGGAAAUCCGCUCGCUCAACGAGUGGGCGUCCGACGGAAACUGCACAGCUUGGGACCGGAAGGCUCGAAGGGUACGUUCGGGGUAGGAGUGAAAUCCCAUAAUCCCCACGGACCACCGAUGGCGAGAGCACUUCGAGAAAACGGAUCCGACAGUGGGGGACGAGAGCCAGAGUCUACAACCGGAUUAGAUACCCUGUGGUC